rnacentral:rRNA from 1 species
UACGUAGGCAGCAAGCGUUGUUCGGAGUUACUGGGCGUAAAGGGUGCGUAGGCGGCCCUGUAAGUAUGGUGUGAAAUCUCCCGGCUUAACUGGGAGGGUGCGCUAUAGACUGCGGGGCUCGAGUGUGGGAGAGGAAAGUGGAAUUCCUGGUGUAGCGGUGAAAUGCGUAGAUAUCAGGAGGAACACCGGUGGUGUAAACGGCCUUCUGGACCAUAACUGACGCUGAGGCACGAAAGCGUGGGUAGCAAACAGG